AAUUAGCUUAGCUUAGCACAGAGAAUGGGAACAUGGGAAAACAACUGGCCUAGCUCUGUCCAAACUCUGGUCUGGUCUGUCCAGUUGUUUACUUAAACGAUGGAACGAUGGAAUAGGUGGUUUGCCAGUUACUCCAAAUACGACGUAUAUGAGUGUUGGAGUGUACCAGUGACAGGCUACUAACGGUCGCAGGUGGAUAACAUUGUGAAAUGGUUUGGCACCAAGGCUACUGGCUGGUUAAGCUCGAGGCUCGGCUUCCCGCUGAGCUGCACUCUGAGAUUUCGAAACCAUGAAGGCACCAAACUAAAAAUGCAAAGACACCCACUGUUCUGUUCAAACACUUUCCACGAGCCUAAUGCAGUGGGCUUCAGUUAUUCAAACACAGUUUAACAGCAAGACGAGGGAGCUCACAGGUGAGAGCAACAGAGGAGAGCUGGAGGAGGGGAACCUUUGAGCUGCUCACAUGAUCUGAGGACUGAAGAGGGUUCCUGCUGGGAGUCCCCUGCAAACAUGUCGGCGUCUCUUCAAACGGGGACGCGGCAGACUUGAAUCCUCCGGGUCUUCACUAAAACACACAAACCACCACCAAGCAACCUGACCUGCAUCUGUGUGUGUGUGUGUGUGUGUGUGUGUGUGUACCUGAGGUAUUAACUUGUAAAGUGUUUUGAUGAUGGCGGGGGAGGAGGAUGUAAAUCUCUGUAAUCCUGCAGGGUCAAAAUGUCGAUCCACUACACACAGACUGAAUACUAAUAAGCGAAUUGAAACACCUGACACUGUGACAACAGAUGCAAGAAAUAACAAAAUAAAGUCAUAAAUAAAUAGACAUCUGUUGCAUUUCACCUGGCUCAGUGAGAGGAAGUUAAGUCUUCUUCUCUGUAGGUGAUUUCAAGCA